rnacentral:rRNA from 1 species
CCUACGGGAGGCAGCAGUGAGGAAUAUUGGUCAAUGGACGAGAGUCUGAACCAGCCAAGUAGCGUGAAGGAUGACUGCCCUAUGGGUUGUAAACUUCUUUUAUAAAGGAAUAAAACGAGGCACGUGUGCCUUUUUGCAUGUACUUUAUGAAUACGGAUCGGCUAACUCCGUGCCAGCAGCCGCGGUAAUACGGAGGAUCCGAGCGUUAUCCGGAUUUAUUGGGUUUACAGGGAGCGUAGAUGGGUUUUUAAGGCAGUUGUGAAAGUUUGCGGCUCAACCGUAAAAUUGCAAUUGAUACUGGUAGUCUUGAGUACAGUUGAGGUAGGCGGAAUUCGUGGUGUAGCGGUGAAAUGCUUAGAUAUCACGAAGAACCCCGAUUGCGAAGGCAGCUUACUAAACUGUGACUGACAUUGAUGCUCGAAAGUGUGGGUAUCAAACAGGAUUAGAUACCCGGGUAGUC